UACGAAGGGGGCUAGCGUUGCUCGGAAUUACUGGGCGUAAAGGGCGCGUAGGCGGAUGUUUAAGUCAGAGGUGAAAGCCCAGGGCUCAACCUUGGAACUGCCUUUGAUACUGGGCAUCUUGAGUAUGGGAGAGGUGAGUGGAACUCCGAGUGUAGAGGUGAAAUUCGUAGAUAUUCGGAAGAACACCAGUGGCGAAGGCGACUCACUGGCCCAAUUACUGACGCUGAGGCGCGAAAGCGUGGGGAGCAAACAGG
rnacentral:rRNA from 1 species